rnacentral:rRNA from 1 species
UACGUAGGGGGCUAGCGUUGUCCGGAAUCAUUGGGCGUAAAGAGCGUGUAGGCGGCCCGGUAAGUCCGCUGUGAAAGUCGGGGGCUCAACCCUCGAAUGCCGGUGGAUACUGUCGGGCUAGAGUGCGGAAGAGGCGAGUGGAAUUCCUGGUGUAGCGGUGGAAUGCGCAGAUAUCAGGAAGAACACCCGUGGCGAAAGCGGCUCUCUGGAACGGUACUGACGCUGAGACGCGAAAGCGUGGGGAGCGAACAGG